UGUGUGUGUGUGUGUGUGUGUGUGUGUGUGUGUGUGCACAUGCAGGUAUACACACAUACAUGCACACCCAUACAAAAAUA